GUAAACUGCUACAAUUUUAGCAUAUAUUUAAAGAAAAGGUGUUCUACAGAAGAAUUCGGAUUACUGACAGUGAGUGCUUAAAGGCACACUAUAGGUAUCCAGACCACUUCAGCUCAUUGAAGUGGUCUGGGUUCAAAACCCCAGGUCCAUUUACCCUAGAAUGGUUUACAUUGCAGUUUUGAAUUAACUGCAGUAAUUACCUUUAUGGGUUAACUACACCACUAGUGGCUGUCUACUAGACAGCCACUAGAGGGACAUCUGGUUCGUUACGCGUCACGCUAUGUAUGAGGACAUCUAGUGUCACGAGAAUCCCCAUAGGGCUGUUCUAAUGCGAGUGCGGCCAUUGCCGCACAUUCGCAUUUGGUCUACCCCACCAGCUGACAUCGGUGGGAAAGAGCAAAGGCAGAC